rnacentral:rRNA from 1 species
AUUGAACGCUGGCGGCAUGCCUAACACAUGCAAGUCGAACGGCUGAACGGAUGUUUCUCCUGGAUUCCGCGUCGCGCGGGUGUGUAAUGUCUAUCAAUCCACCUCGUGGUGGGGGGUAUCGUCCGGCAAAAGCCGCUAUUACAGCACACGUCCUCUGCGGGUAAGAGGGGGGUCUUCUGGCCCCACGCUCUCUGAUGUUCCGAGGUCGGAUUAGCUAGUUGGUGGGGUAAAGGCCUACCAAGGCGACGAUCAGUAGCUGGUCUGAGAGGAUGAUCAGUCACACUGGAACUGAGACACGGUCCAGACUCCUACGGGAGGCAGCAGUGGGGAAUAUUGGACAAUGGGCGAAAGCCUGAUCCAGCAAUGCCGCGUGUGUGAAGAAGGCCUUCGGAUUGUAAAGCACUUUUGGUUGGGAAGAAGGGCAGUAAGUUAAUACGGUGGUGGUAUGACGUUACCAGCAGAAUAAGCACCGGCUAACUACGUG